rnacentral:rRNA from 1 species
GGUGAGUAACACGUGAGUAACCUGCCCUGGACUCUGGGAUAAGCGCUGGAAACGGCGUCUAAUACCGGAUAGGACCUCGGAUCGCAUGAUCUGGGGUGGAAAGUUUUUUCGGUCUGGGAUGGACUCGCGGCCUAUCAGCUUGUUGGUGAGGUAAUGGCUCACCAAGGCGUCGACGGGUAGCCGGCCUGAGAGGGUGACCGGCCACACUGGGACUGAGACACGGCCCAGACUCCUACGGGAGGCAGCAGUGGGGAAUAUUGCACAAUGGGCGAAAGCCUGAUGCAGCAACGCCGCGUGGGGGAUGACGGCCUUCGGGUUGUAAACCUCUUUUAGUAGGGAAGAAGCGCAAGUGACGGUACCUGCAGAAAAAGCACCGGCUAACUACGUGCCAGCAGCCGCGGUAAUACGUAGGGUGCGAGCGUUGUCCGGAAUUAUUGGGCGUAAAGAGCUCGUAGGCGGUUUGUCGCGUCUGCUGUGAAAACCAGAGGCUCAACCUCUGGCCUGCAGUGGGUACGGGCAGACUUGAGUGCGGUAGGGGAGAAUGGAAUUCCUGGUGUAGCGGUGGAAUGCGCAGAUAUCAGGAGGAACACCGAUGGCGAAGGCAGUUCUCUGGGCCGUAACUGACGCUGAGGAGCGAAAGCGUGGGGAGCGAACAGGAUUAGAUACCCUGGUAGUCCACGCCGUAAACGUUGGGCGCUAGAUGUGGGGACCUUUCCACGGUUUCCGUGUCG